GUGCUUGCUUAGGCAGUACAGUUGCUAAGACUGGAACAACUCAGAAGAUUAGCAUGGCCCUGUGCAAGGAUGACAUGUAAAUUAGUGAAGCGAUUUGUAUUUUU